GGGUAGCUCAGUUGGUUAGUGUUGUGCUGAUAACGCCAAGGUUGCAGGUUCAAUCCCUGUAUGGGUCAGCUGCA